UAUUAGAGCAGGCAGCAGUGAAGGUAGGGGUUGGGUCAGCAACUUAGACUCUGAGAUGUGAGGCCAAAGCCAGAUUUCAGAAAAGAGGGAUGAUAAAAAGGUCAGCCGGGCCCGUUAAGGGUGACCAUACUCAAGUCGGUCGUCAUCUAGUUAAAGCAAAACAAAACAAGGAUUCUUCCAUGGUGAUGACCCUAGCCAGUAUUUUGUAGCGGAGUACCCAGCAAGCGCCUGACAAAUGAUCACUCCGAGAGACACAUCUAGUGAAAUGUUAUUCUGAGACCAUUCAUUUUUCUGUGUGCAAGAAGCUUGAAGAGACAUUUUAUAGCGUAUUUCUUCACUUCUUUUUAGAAAACCUUGCAGUGUCUUGAAGGGUAAAUCAUCUUCUUUCCAGCUGUGGCUCUGGAAACAUGACACUCUGGCAUCUGGGAAGAGAUUUUUGCUUACAAGUUUAGAAGAGCGCUGUGCCGGAUAAAAUGGAGGGAAAUCAGCGCUAGAUCAGCAAAAGAUCACUAAGGAAAGGUGAAUCUUAUCCCAUGGAGUGGGAAAGGUCGCAUCUCCCGACAUCCCACCUACGCUGUGACUCAGAAAGUCACGUGAUCAGACUCUGCAUUUUUGUGAAAUGGGCUCACUGCGUCCUCAGACUGUGACAUGACACUCUCACCCCAUCUGUAUUUUCCAUGGGCAUCCCAUUCCAGAAGUAUUAUCCCAUCUUUCAAAGUCUACAUGAAAAAUCCAGCCAGAAAGAACUCUUUGUGGAAGGAAACAGAGCUAGUGACUGGAGUUUCUUUCACUUUUUCUUUGAAAUGCUUUGAUGAGCACACAUUGGAAAAAAUGCAUAUUCGAUUGAGGAGACAAUUGUCAAAGUAAACAAAGUCUAAGGCAGUAACUUGUCGAUUUCCUCUGUGAUUUGCUUGAAAGAUCAAUAAAUAACCACUCAGCAUUUUACAAUAAAA